CUUACUACGCUGACAACUUCAAUGGGACUAGACUAGAGGAGGACACACCUCGGGUAAUUUGCAAAACAUGGUUAUGAGUAUUCCUAUAUUUUUUUUUACAUUUGCGCGAUCUUUUGCUAACCCUCAAAUGUGUUGUGUUUGGUUCUGCAGGCUGGAUUGGCGUCUAGGAGGAAGAGGAUGUUGUACGAAACUUUGGCGGCCCAGUGCAACACUGCUCCUCGCGCUGGCUUCAUGGUCCAGGUGGCAGAAGAAAUUUAGGUUAACAUGCGGAUGAAGGAGUUCCAUCCCGUGUCGGUCAAGCGCAUGUGCGUUGGCUUGGUUAAGUAGCGUAAUAGUUAAGCUUGCUGUGUUGGUGAUCCUUUUGUGAACCUAUCAGUGACUAUGGUGCUUUUGUGAACCAUGUAUUAUUCUGCUGUAAUAUUACUUAUUGCCGAGACAUCCUAAUCACUACACCAGCUUGUGUGC
rnacentral:lncRNA from 1 species